UUUCACAUCACCGCCAAACUUUUGCCUCUCCCCACCAACAGAAGCAGAAGGAGAUUUCAAGCGUCGAAGCGGCACCAUAGUUUGUUGUUGCAGAUGGCGCUGAAUGCAAUUGAUGUAGAAUGGAAAAGUGAAGCUGCCAGUUGCCAGACCAAGGAAAGAUGGCCCAGAGAAGAAAACUCUAGGACGAGCAUUGAGUUGGAAUAUUUGCUCCAUGUUUUUCUUGGGCUGUAGUCUCAAAACGCAGAGUGAUAUUUUGCUUAAUAUCAUGAGUGUACUUAUAUACCCCAUCUUGACUGGUAUAUAACUAAUACAUGUAUACAAAAGUCAGCAAUAGCGGCUUGGAAGUUAGAAGGUAUCUUUCGUGGGGCUCAUGUGGUGUCGGAAUAUUUCAGUGGGCUUGAAUGUUAGUUUCUUGAGGAAUCAUCACAUGCAUGUGGCACAGUGGCAGUGGUGGGACUGGGUAUGUAGACCCGUGAGUCUCCUCUCCCAUGUACAAAUCCUUUUCAGUCUCCUCAUAUGUUCCUGUUCUUGUGGAGGAAAAAGUUGUGGGUACACUUGAAGGAUAUAUGUUCUUUCACUUUCUUCUU